rnacentral:rRNA from 1 species
GUCUUCGAGUCGUUGAUUUCACACUGCCGAGAAAAGCCUCUAGAUAGAAAAUAGGUGCCCGUACCGCAAACCGACACAGGUAGUCAAGAUGAGAAUUCUAAGGUGAGCGAGCGAACUCUCGUUAAGGAACUCGGCAAAAUGACCCCGUAACUUCGGGAGAAGGGGUGCUCUUUAGGGUUAACGCCCAGAAGAGCCGCAGUGAAUAGGCCCAAGCGACUGUUUAUCAAAAACACAGGUCUCUGCUAAACCGUAAGGUGAUGUAUAGGGGCUGACGCCUGCCCGGUGCUGGAAGGUUAAGAGGAGUGGUUAGCUUCUGCGAAGCUACGAAUCGAAGCCCCAGUAAACGGCGGCCGUAACUAUAACGGUCCUAAGGUAGCGAAAUUCCUUGUCGGGUAAGUUCCGACCCGCACGAAAGGCGUAACGAUUUGGGCACUGUCUCAACGAGAGACUCGGUGAAAUCAUAGUACCUGUGAAGAUGCAGGUUACCCGCGACAGGACGGAAAGACCCCGUGGAGCUUUACUGUAGCCUGAUAUUGAAAUUCGGCACAGCUUGUACAGGAUAGGUAGGAGCCUUUGAAACGUGAGCGCUAGCUUACGUGGAGGCGCUGGUGGGAUACUACCCUAGCUGUGUUGGCUUUCUAACCCGCACCACUUAUCGUGGUGGGAGACAGUGUCAAGCGGGCAGUUUGACUGGGGCGGUCGCCUCCUAAAAGGUAACGGAGGCGCUCAAAGGUUCCCUCAGAAUGGUUGGAAAUCAUUCAUAGAGUGUAAAGGCAUAAGGGAGCUUGACUGCGAGACCUACAAGUCGAGCAGGGUCGAAAGACGGACUUAGUGAUCCGGUGGUUCCGCAUGGAAGGGCCAUCGCUCAACGGAUAAAAGCUACCCCGGGGAUAACAGGCUUAUCUCCCCCAAGAGUUCACAUCGACGGGGAGGUUUGGCACCUCGAUGUCGGCUCAUCGCAUCCUGGGGCUGUAGUCGGUCCCAAGGGUUGGGCUGUUCGCCCAUUAAAGCGGUACGCGAGCUGGGUUCAGAACGUCGUGAGACAGUUCGGUCCCUAUCCGUCGUGGGCGUAGGAAAUUUGAGAGGAGCUGUCCUUAGUACGAGAGGACCGGGAUGGACAUACCUCUGGUGUACCAGUUGUCGUGCCAACGGCAUAGCUGGGUAGCUAUGUGUGGACGGGAUAAGUGCUGAAAGCAUCUAAGCAUGAAGCCCCCCCUCAAGAUGAGAUUUCCCAACUUCGGUUAUAAGAUCCCUCAAAGAUGAUGAGGUUAAUAGGUUCGAGGUGGAAGCAUGGUGACAUGUGGAGCUGACGAAUACUAAUCGAUCGAAGACUUAAUCAA